rnacentral:lncRNA from 1 species
GUCAGCAGGCCGCACACGCGCCGGACCGGGUACCGCUGUGCCCGGCCUGGCCGCGGCCUAGUCCCGGCAGACGGGACUGACGAGGUCACCAAGCCCAGGCCGAGACGGCGCGGGUGUCAGGGACUUGGGAAUCCCCCUCCCCCAGUCCCGAUCCCGCUUUCCUUUGGGGUUUCACCUCAGAGGACCCGACAGCACUCUUGCAGAACAGCCGUCUGCCUGUCUUCCUGGCUCGCUCCCUGCAGGAAUGGUCUGGGGCAACCCCAGCAACACGCCCACCUGUGGCCAGGAUGAAUAGGAAUCCAGUUCAGGCUUGGCUUCCAUGGCAAUCAAGGCCCACCAGGCCCCAGCAACCUUCCCUACCCCCCAUUCCUUUUUGCUGCCCCCCUCCACACCAGGCAUGUUCCCUGCCACACCAUGCUGUUCCCCUCACCUGGGCUGCCCUCCCAACUCCUCUCUGCCUCUGGAGAUGCUCUGCCAUUCAAGACUUGGCUCAGGCUCCAGGUCCUCCCUGGGCCUUCUAGAGCCCCUGGUUCUCACUCCUCUGAACACUUCCAGCCUGGCUAAUAGCCCACUGCAUCCUGGCCUGGGGUACAGGUGGCCAGCACAGGUGUGGGGGCCAGCUUCCAACACAAGCACGGGUAGGUCCCUCUGCAGACCAUGGGCUGCAAGAGGCCCGGCCUUGCCCACUGCAGGGGCCCUGCGCAGGGCUGGGCACGAAGCAGGUGGGUGUCCACCAAUCUAGUAUCCAAAACCCUGCUUGGUUCACCCCCACCUCUGUUGAAGGAAAGCAACACUGUGAUGGAGAGGAGCAGCUGUGGAUUCAAAUCCUGGCUUGGCCACUUUCUAGUUGUGUGACUUGGUGCAUCUGCCCUCAUCUCCUCAGAGACAAAAAUGGCAACACCUCCCUUCUUGGGUUACUAUGAGGAUUAAAUAACAAAACCUCCAAGAAGCAGA